CAGGUUGCAUCUCGCUUUUGAAAUCUGGCGGAUUAGAAUCAUUUCCGUAACAUGGGCAGGUUGACCUCCCUGUAACUAGGGUUUGGUCUCCGAGGCCCUUUGGGUCUCUUGGCCUCGUGCUGUCUUCACAGCGUGCUGCGAAGGACCGCCCUGUCAUCAGGGAUCGGGUCUUUGCCCUCUAGUCUCUUGGCACUAGGCCAAAUGCAGCCACUGCCCCGAAUGAGCACCCUGUAAACAGGGUACAGGUCUCAUCAGCUACUAUUUAUGGUGCCCCCAUGAGACUGUGUCCAGAGUUCCGGCCCUUUAAGCAGCGCUUGCAACGUGCCUGGAAUUCUGCAGCCAAGUCUCCUGCUUUCUACUCCCUUCUUGGACUCUUGGAGACCUGACAUGCUAUUGGUGGCAUCAUGAAGCACAAGUGCAGAAGAAGGAAGUGUCAGGAAUGCCACAGACAGAGGAGAAAAGAAGAUGGAGGAAAAGGAAAGGAACUCUGGGCACAGUACCCUCCCUCAAAUCAGCCUCAGGUCAUGUAAUUAGACUGUAUGGGAAUCUCGAGCCUUUUAAUAACUUGAGCAGCGUGACCGCCCUGUAAGCUAGGUCCGGGUCUGUCCCCUUUGGACAUUCUGCUCCGUCAUCUGGCUAGUGUGAGUGACUGCCCUGUAAUCAGGGUGCCAGUCACCUCCCCCUAAAUGUGGAGGGGCAUUGAGCUCUUUCUCUAAUUGAGCAUUGUGACCGGCCUGUAACUAGGGCCCGGGUCUCUGCCCACUUGCUCAUUUGGCUUUACGCCGUGCUCUGCCCCACUAGUCAGCGUGACAACCCUGUAAUUAGGGUCCAUGUCACAAGGCUCUCCUGAAUGGGACAUAUCGAGCUCUUUGGUACUUUCACAGCUGGACCGUCCUGUAAUUCAGGUUAUGGUCUCUCCUCUUUGGCUAAUGCCAGUGACCACCCUGUAAUGAGGGGACAGGUUGCAUCUUGCUUUUGAAAACUGGGGGAUUAGAAUCAUUUCCGUAACAUGGGCAGCUUGACCUCCCUGUAACUAGGGUUUGAGUCUCCGAGGCCCUUUGGGUCUCCAUUAGCUGGUUAGUGAGUGUGACUGCCCUGCAAUCAGGGUGCAAGUCACCUCCCCCUAAAUGUGGGGGGGGCAUUGAGCUCUUUGUUAAACUGAGCAAUAUGACCGCCCUGUAACUAGGGCCCGGGUCUCUGCCCACUUGCUCAUUUGGCAUUACGCCGUGCUCUGCCCCACUAGUCAGCGUGACAACCCUGUAAUUAGGGUCUAUGUCACAAGUUACUUUUAAAUGGGACAUAUCGAGCUCUUUGGUACUUUGACAGCUGGACCUUCCUGUAAUUCAGGUUAUGGUCUCUCCUAUUUGGCUAAUGCCAGUGACCACCCUGUAAUGAGGGGACAGGUUGCAUCUCGCUUUUGAAAUCUGGGGGAUUAGAAUCAUUUCCGUAACAUGGGCAGCUUGACCUCCCUGUAACUAGGGUUUGAGUCUCCGAGGCCCUUUGGGUCUCCAUUAGCUGCUUAGUGAGUGUGACUGCCCUGCAAUCAGGGUGCAAGUCACCUCCCCCUAAAUGUGGGGGGGCAUUGAGCUCUUUCUUAAACUGAGCAAUAUGACCGCCCUGUAACUAGGGCCCGGGUCUCUGCCCACUUGCUCAUUUGGCUUUACGCCGUGCUCUGCCCCAUUAGUCAGCAUGACCGCUCUGUAAUUAGGGUCUAUGUCACAAGUUACUCUUAAAUGGGACAUAUCGAGCUCUUUGGUACUUUGACAGCUGGACCUUCCUGUAAUUCAGGUUAUGGUCUCUCCUCUUUGGCUAAUGCCAGUGACCACCCUGUAAUGAGGGUACAGGUUGCAUCUUGCUUUUGAAAUCUGGGGGAUUAGAAUCAUUUCCGUAAUAUGGGCAGCUUGACCUCCCUGUAACUAGGGUUUGGUCUCCGAGGCCCUUUGGGUCUCUUGGCCUCGUGCUGUCUUCACAGCGUGCUGCGAAGGACCGCCCUGUCAUCAGGGAUCGGGUCUUUGCCCUCUAGUCUCUUGGCACUAGGCCAAAUGCAGCCACUGCCCCGAAUGAGCACCCUGUAAACAGGGUACAGGUCUCAUCAGCUACUAUUUAUGGUGCCCCCAUGAGACUGUGUCCAGAGUUCCGGCCCUUUAAGCAGCGCUUGCAACGUGCCUGGAAUUCUGCAGCCAAGUCUUCUGCUUUCUACUCCCUUCUUGGACUCUUGGAGACCUGACAUGCUAUUGGUGGCAUUUUGAAGCACAAGUGGAGAAGAAGGAAGUAUCUAACCAAGGCAUAACUGUGAAUCUGAAAUGCAGAGACCUUAAACACACAAGUUCUAUAGAAUGAUCACUUCCUUUUAUUAAUAAGUCAUCAUUUCCUAUUGGAAGUUCAAGGAUGUGACUGAAGGGAAGGCAUAGAUUUUUAUUCUCCACUCACCCCCAAUACGCCUAACUUGUGUAUUUCUCACACAUUUCUAAAAGGGAGCAAACAAAACUAAAUGUUCUGGCAUCUGGCAGUUACUUCCUGCACUUCACAACUUUCAAACACCUACUCUACUUAAACGGUCUCACCAACCAAAGUGUACCACACAAUCAAUAUUAACUUUGCACCUAUUUUGUCAGAAGUUAUAGUGUUUUUAGUAGUUGUGUCCAUUGGUGGACGUGGCAAUAGUGGUGUUUUAAUAGUCUUUUAUGCUGAUUGAAUUCAGAGGAUCAUGAUGUGGAUGUUUAGGUAGGUAUUUUUCUGUUAAGUUUUGGUAUUUGGGCAGGGGUGCAGUAUUUUGUGAUUAUGAUUGUUUUUCUGGUAUUGGUUUAGUGUUAAUUGUUGGCAAUUUUAGAUGUUUUUGUAUACUUACAUUAGUAGAUGUAUUUAGAGGGCAAAGCUGAGGUUGUCUGUUUGGUGCAAUUUGAUUGGUGUAAAAGUUAAUUUCGGGUAAGUGUUUGAAAGCCCUGAGCUUUGAAUUUGUAGCUCAACAGGGAUGCAGGACCCACCUGGCUACCUCAGUUCUAACUUUCAUUCCUAAUUCCAAAAUCUUGGAUGAAGAUGACCAUAUAAAGAAGAAUAAAGAUAUCUCCAGAGACUUUCAAGAGGGUAGCAUGUAUGCAGCUUAGGGGAUCCCUUAAACCUUAUUGAGCUUUUCAAAGUGCAGUAAUUGUGGAAAACUUCUACUUCUGCCACUUAAGUGUUGAACAAUAAUCUGUAUUAAAGGAUUUACACUGGUAGUUAAUUCUGUUCUGUAUUAAGAUGAUUUUGCUAAAAUCACCACUUCAUGAUGUGUGAAAUGAAUUAACUAGGUCUGAUUAUACCUAUUUUAUAAAAGUUGGACUACUCCAUAUUAAAUGCAUGUAUCGAACUUUGAUUGUCAUAUCACAUUGCUUUGCUUUCUGUAACUCCUUAUUUAUGAAUGUAUUUAUUACUCUUUAUGUCAUUCAAUUAAUAAAAUGUAUGCAUUCCGGUAA